AUUUCCAACAAAUUGAAUAGCAGACCAUUUCCAUGGGAAACACAGGAGGAAGACAAACGUCAUCCAUGACUGGUAAUCCAAUAUUACCCAGUGUGGGGCAUAUGAAAAAACUGCUAAAUGGGAUACUAAAUAAUUUAUGCAGCUAAGGAGAGCGGGCGUCUGAGGAUAUUUCUUGUACACCAUCCUCGAGGAAAGAGGGAUCCGGA